GGCCGGUUAGCUCAGUUGGGUCAGAGCGUGGUGCUAAUAACACCAAGGUCACGGGUUCAACCCCCGUACAGGCCA